rnacentral:sRNA from 1 species
AAAUUUUAGCGAUAGAUCUAUGGUUUUUUCGACCAUCGUUUCGAAUAUCGUUCUUUCUGCAUUCAUUGGAGCCAAGGAUGACAAGAACUUUUUUCCAAGGGUGGAAUGCUCAUUUCUCAAUCUGUGGUGAACACCUUACAACUGGACUGGUACACCCCAAAGGAGACCUUCUUCAGUGAGAAAUUCACCUCGCAAAUUUAUUGCAAAAUCAACUUCGGCAAUAUUGCAAACAGCAAUAGCUUCGACACAUUUGCUACAUGUAAAAUAUAUAUAUAUACAUGCGAUGAAAAUCGAAAGCGCCAAAGUAGAAUUUUUUGAAAGAGAAUUUAGUGAAGCUUGACAGCACGAUUUAUGCAGAAUGUUGUCUAUACAAAUUGGAUGUUUCCAACGGUAAAAAACGUAAAUUAAAUGUGUAUGGAAUCUCGUUGUUGAAGGGAAAUUGUUCUGAUGAAACGGCUAUCAAUACUAUCGGCUGAAUACGCUUGGAGUGACAAGGAUGUACACGUAAUCCCUUGCACUUAAAAACGAUGUGGUCCUAAAAGAUAAGGAAAAGAACGAGAAAACCAUUAUACUGAUUGAAUGAAGACUAUGGGCCCAUUUUGUUAAAACACCAUAUCCUUACAUCCAUAUCAUACUUGCAUGUAGCUUGAACACUAAUCGUUUGUCAACCGACUUCAUCUAGGCGUUACAUCUGUGAACUGGUAUCUACCGUUAGCAGCCCUUAGCAAGAUAAUAAACUUCUUCCAAUGUUUUC